AGUGAACGCUGGCGGUAGGCCUAACACAUGCAAGUCGAACGGCAGCACAGUAAGAGCUUGCUCUUACGGGUGGCGAGUGGCGGACGGGUGAGGAAUACAUCGGAAUCUACUUUUUCGUGGGGGAUAACGUAGGGAAACUUACGCUAAUACCGCAUACGACCUACGGGUGAAAGCAGGGGAUCUUCGGACCUUGCGCGAUUGAAUGAGCCGAUGUCGGAUUAGCUAGUUGGCGGGGUAAAGGCCCACCAAGGCGACGAUCCGUAGCUGGUCUGAGAGGAUGAUCAGCCACACUGGAACUGAGACACGGUCCAGACUCCUACGGGAGGCAGCAGUGGGGAAUAUUGGACAAAGGGCGCAAGCCUGAUCCAGCCAUACCGCGUGGGUGAAGAAGGCCUUCGGGUUGUAAAGCCCUUUUGUUGGGAAAGAAAAGCAGCAGGUUAACACCCCGCUGUUCUGACGGUACCCAAAGAAUAAGCACCGGCUAACUUCGUG
rnacentral:rRNA from 1 species